rnacentral:rRNA from 1 species
AACGCGAAGAACCUUACCAACCCUUGACAUGGCAGGACCGCUGGAGAGAUUCAGCUUUCUCGUAAGAGACCUGCACACAGGUGCUGCAUGGCUGUCGUCAGCUCGUGUCGUGAGAUGUUCGGUUAAGUCCGGCAACGAGCGCAACCCACGUCCCUAGUUGCCAGCAUUCAGUUGGGCACUCUAUGGAAACUGCCGAUGAUAAGUCGGUGGAAGGUGUGGAUGACGUCAAGUCCUCAUGGCCCUUACGGGUUGGGCUACACACGUGCUACAAUGGUGGUGACAGUGGGUUAAUCCCCAAAAGCCAUCUCAGUUCGGAUUGUCCUCUGCAACUCGAGGGCAUGAAGUGGAAUCGCUAGUAAUCGCG